GAUGAACGCUGGCGGCGUGCCUAAUACAUGCGAGUCGAGCGAACGGACGAGAAGCUUGCUUCUCUAAUGUUAGCGGCGGACGGGUGAGUAACACGUGGAUAACCUACCUAUAAGACUGGGAUAACUUCGGGAAACCGUAGCUAAUACCGGAUAAUAUUUUGAACCGCAUGGUUCAAAAGUGAAAGACGGUCUUGCUGUCACUUAUAGAUGGAUCCGCGCUGCAUUAGCUAGUUGGUAAGGUAACGGCUUACCAAGGCAACGAUGCAUAGCCGAUCUGAGAGGGUGAUCGGCCACACUGGAACUGAGACACGGUCCAGACUCCUACGGGAGGCAGCAGUAGGGAAUCUUCCGCAAUGGGCGAAAGCCUGACGGAGCAACGCCGCGUGAGUGAUGAAGGUCUUCGGAUCGUAAAACUCUGUUAUUAGGGAAGAACAUAUGUGUAAGUAACUGUGCACAUCUUGACGGUACCUAAUCAGAAAGCCACGGCUAACUACGUG
rnacentral:rRNA from 1 species